GUGUUCAGAAAGGACCAAGGUCAGAAGAAAAUGGAGGGAAAAGGAGCCCCAUAUGCCACGCUGCUACAUUUUCCACAUAUUGAACGCUAUUUUGGCACCGAAAACUCAAGCAAUCUAUUGUGCCGAAUUUGCCAAUGAAGAAGCGAAGAGUUUAAUCCAGCAGUCCAAAGGAACCGAAUGCUGACUCCUAACUAACGCUUACUGGAUGCGUUGAUGCGUCUUCCAUUAAAGACAUCAGAUUUGAGUGGCCUGCGCCUGAAUCCACGUCAAGAUUGUCUCACUUGUUAAAGUUUGGCGUCUGGUGAAUUUGCAGGGUUGACGUUUGUCAUGAAAUUCGCCAGUGCAUUCAAGAGACGAAGAUAUGUCCCCAUGGAGAAGUUACAACAGUUGAAAUGCACCUUUGGAUUUCAAUAAUCCUGAGUAUGGACA